AACAAAGUGUGGAGUCAAGCGCAAAGGAUUCAUUGGGAGUUCGAGAGUUCGACGGAAGUCCGAAGGUUCGUCGGGAAUGCUGCCGGAACUAGCCGAGAAUGAGUAGGGAACUUGCCGAAGAGUUUUUUGGAAGCUCACCGAAAGGUUCGUGGGAAGUUCGCGGAGCUCGCCGAGAGAGAUCGGAGCUUGCCGAAGAAGCUCGUUGGAACUCACCAAGAUCAAAUCGUG
rnacentral:lncRNA from 1 species